GACGAACGCUGGCGGCGUGCCUAACACAUGCAAGUCGAACGGAGAAGUUCAGCACUGGAUUUCUUAGUGGCGAACGGGUGAGUAACGCGUAGACAACCUGCUCCUACGCUCGGGACAACAACUCGAAUGGGUUGUUAAUUCCGAAUGUGAACAGUGCCUCGCAUGCUAUGCUGUUUGAAGGUGGCCACUGAAUAUGCUACCGCUUAUAGAUCGUUCUGCGUCUGAUUAGCUAGUUGGAGGGGUAAUGGCCCACCAAGGCGACGAUCAGUAGCCGGUCCGAGAGGAUGAACGGCCACACUGGGACUGGGACACGGCCCAGACUCCUACGGGAGGCAGCAGUGGGGAAUCUUCCGCAAUGGACGAAAGUCUGACGGAGCAACGCCGCGUGAGUGAAGAAGGCCCUCGGGUCGUAAAGCUCUGUCUUCAGGGACGAAUGUGCAGAUUGUGAAUAAUGGUUUGUAAUGACGGUACCUGAGGAGGAAGCCACGGCUAACUACGUGCCAGCAGCCGCCGUAA
rnacentral:rRNA from 1 species